GGACAUUGACAAAUUGGAGCAUGUCCAGAGAAAGGUGACCUGGAUAUUAAGGUUUGAACCAUGAAGGUUCAAAAGAGGAAUGGCUGAAAGAACUUGGAAUGUUCGGCCUGAAGAAGAGAACAUUUAGUGAUGGUAGUCAUGGGAAGGAAUGCCACAAAGGAUGAUUGUCCACACUUAAAGUAAACCUCAAACUCUAGACAUGUACAUCAGCCCCUUGUAUCUCCUGCAACCUGGAGGUUUCUAAGAAAAAGGGAAAAUGGAGCAGAGAAAGAGGAUGCAGUUCUUGAUUCAGAUAAUUGUUCUGAUUUCUGUACAGCGUAUCAAGAAAUGCUUGGAAGAAUUUGGAGGAAAUCUCUAUUCUGAAGAUCCAUGUUCUCCCUUAUCAUAUACAUAUAUACUCAACUUUGCA